rnacentral:lncRNA from 1 species
GGUUUUUGGGUAGUUGUUUAUGAGUUGUUUAGAGUAUGUUUGGCACCUCACUGGAGUCCACCUGUGUAGGAUCGAACCCGAGGAAUCAAGGUGUUUAGCAGUGUUAGCUGCUUCAGAGUUAGUCCAGAGCUAGCCAGAGGUGAGUGGAACUAACCCUUAUGUUUUAAAUCAAAUGUUUUUAGCAUGUUCAAGCAUGUUCAUGCAUCAUGAAUACCAUGUUAUGCAAUAGGUUGUUUGCAUUAGAAUUCACGAAUAUGAUGCAUUGCAUAAUACGAUGAUGAUGAUGUGGAUGGAUACUGGAUGAUCCUCUAGCCCUCAGUAUGCUAUGACAUGAUAUGGAAUGAUGUGAUAUGGCAUGUAC